rnacentral:lncRNA from 1 species
UUUUUUUUUCUUCUGGCUAAAAUAUAACAAUUCUGAGACAUGAGGCAUACUGGAUAUGGAUAUGGAUAUGGUUGUUUUCACCAUUUAAAUUGCUUAGAUAAAGUCUGCAAUGCAAGUAUACAACAAAGGAGAUACUCCACAUCCUUUUGAUGGCAAUUUCUAGGGUUACAUAUUCAACCUGUUCCUAUCAAGUACCGAAAAUUGCGCUCUUGCUUUUCAUUUCUAUCCAAUGUAACCUUUGAGCCUAUGAUACAGUACAUUUUGGUGCUAGUUGUGAAAUCUGAACUCUUUUAGCAUGCACAUCAUUCUUUACCGUUGUUUUUUUAAAGCUUGCUAGUGCUGGAUACACCCUUUUAAACUCGUUUUCCCCAUGGAUUCCUCACAGGAAAAGCAGAACAGUGCUGAUGACUCCACAAACACAAAGUUUAGUAACAGUAAUGAUGAAAUGGUAGAAACCUCCAACAAAGAUGACGAAAAGCAGAGAGAAACACCAGAGCUAAAUGUCGAACAGACAGCAGAAUCACCUGAAGAAGAUGGCAAGCUGAGAGCAGAGAUGCCUAAUGAAGACAAUGAGCUGCCAGGAGCCCGAAUAGUCACGAGCGAUCUGAAUGGGCACCAUGAACAGAUGCAAGAAAUAAAAUUGGAUUGAUAAGCAGUGUUGCACUUUACAAAAUAUCCAUGCCACCGCGUUAUAUCAGUAUACAUCUUAACAUGGUGACGGUUGAGGUAUCCCUGAGGGUGGAUUAAAUUUUGAAAUCCUCUUACCAUAUAUUGCUGUACUUGUUCAUGCCCACUCUCGGUUCCCCCUUCCCCUUGCCUUUUUUGGUUUCUUAAAUUCUUUUAGCUACCACGUCAGUAGGUCUAUAGGCUGUUUAAUUCUUCUCCAUUUUUUAUGAUUUGAGAAGAGAAAAGGGAGCAAGUUAUAUGGUUGUCCAGUUGCCGCCUUCUGAUGUAAAUGCAUGAGAAGAAUUGUAGUAGAUGAUAAUUCUGGGCAGAUGUGACACGCUUCUUGUCUUGUUGUAAAUUAUCACAUUUUUUUAGAAGGUGUGCUCGAAGUAAGUUAUCAUCAUUUUAAGAGAAUGGAACUGUGUUGGCGUUAACUGUGCCCUCGAGCCUUGUGUAACGUACUGUGGUUGCCUGUUGGUGCUCUACAGGCUUUCAGAAGUGAGUAAAGGGCCUUCUCAUGAGUUGAUCCGAUUUUCGCUAAAGUUUUCAGAAACAUGCACGCAAUUCUCUUUGAAGUUUUAAGAAAAAACUCUUGUACCAGAAGAUGUACCGUUUAUAUAUCACACAAAAAGGAGCUUGACAUAGCACGACACUUUUACGUUACACGCUUGUAUAGACGACGCACGGAGCUCGCUGUUGGUCUAUGGCCCCAUGCAAGUCACUCUCGCCCAUCUUUCUCCUUCGCCUCCAUGGCUCCAUCUUAUCCCUUCUAUUUAUCGGUUCCACAGUCACUCACUCACAUCGGAGGCAGAGGUUGCUUUGAUGGUUAGCAACCGCUGUUCGGUGAUGAGGUCACGCCUCACACCUGACACCUCCCUCCCUAUCUUUCUCUGCAUUUGAAGAAGGGGAUGGGGAUAGAUUCAUAGAUCGAUAGGAGGAUGCCCGGCCGCGGUGGUUGGCGCGGCAGAGGUGGGGGAUUCACAGUGGCUGCCAGCUCGGUUAAUGGAAGGCAGGGUGCGAAAAGUGAACUUCUUGAUGGCACGGCAAGAAGGCAAAGGUGCAGUGUCGUCGGCCACGGGCAGCGGUCAGCGGAUGUGACCGCCGUGCGCCAAAUGACCUCUGUUGCUUUGGACGCGCUAAACACUAUCAAGCAGUCUUUGAACAAAAACCCUGUAUGUUUGUUUUGUACAAUAACGGAACAAGCAAGGGCAUACUCUAGAACACAACUACACAAGGCCCCCCAAGAAAAAGACUCCAAGAAGAGCACGAACAGGAGAACUUUGUCCUGCCAUGGCACCAGCCAGUACCAACCAAACACCCUGUGAAUCUGUCGCUGCUCCCUUGAGAUUCAGUUGUAGCUGGGCUCUCUGCUGAAUCCGCUGCCGCGGUCGGCUUUCUCCCUCGCGCUAGCG